UAUAGGGGUUGGAAUGCAUGCAAAAUUGCUAUAGUGUCCAGUGCCUAUAUAGAACAUAUAGUAAAAAUAACUGUGGUCUUAGGCCUGAUAUAGUGGAAAAUGUCAGAAAGUAAAUUGUCAAUAUUUUUGUUAUUUUUCAAUCUACAUGGCUGAAAUUUUGACAGUGAAUGGCUGGUAGGCAUAGAAAUCUGGUAAAUAUUUAGAUUAAUCAUUACAUUUGCUGAAAUUGCUUCAGUUUGGAUAAAAAGUUUACAUGCACUUGAAACUUGUGAAAAAUCCUACUUUCAGUUUACAUAUUUCUGGAUUUUUUCUAAUUUUGCAGGUUUUCAUGCAUGAAAUGCAUUUUUAUAAGUUCUUUGUUUGAAACCGGUAUGCGGAAAACAAAAUGGGGUAUUACAAAUGCCGCGAUGUGAUAUUUUUUGAUUUUUUAGAAAUUUGAGCUGCGACUGAGGAAAUCUGACAUAAAGUCAGAUAUGUAUUUUUUGCUAUUCUUGUUUACAUAAAAUUGCUCUUUUGGUUACUUGAAUUUACACAGUACACACAGUCUGAAUAGUGAAAUAUGUGUAAUCAUAAUCUGUGCAAGAAAAAUCAGUUCAAGGGCUUGAAAAUUGGACAGAUUAGGCCUGAAAUUGGCAUAUUUUAAUUGAUUUUGAAGGAAAACAGGCAGAUUUUCACACACUAGACUUGCAUAUUGGUUUCCUUAAUGCUUAAUUGAGCAUAAAUCAUCAUAUCUGAGGUCCUGAAUUGUAUAUUUACUUAUUCUGUUGGAUUUCUUACACUUUUAGUACCUAAAAACCUGAAAUGAGAGCGCUCGGACAAUGUGAAGUUUGUCGCAUAGACGGGGAUUGACCGCCUUUGUACAUAUAUGUCUACAGCUUCUCAGAUUUGACCGAAGAGAGUUGUUCGGUGUUGUGAAUGGAUGUUGUUCGGCCGAAGGCCUUCCAGUCACACAGAAGAUCCUGGUUCGGUCACACGAAGGGUCACUUCCAUUGAUAUUAGUCACAGGAAAAAUUAGGAGCACCAGUUGUAUUUUCUCAGGUUGAUAUUUAUUAAGGUUUUUGCUGAAAUUAAGCCAGUUUGGAACAUUCAGCAGGCAGUGAUGUACAUUAAAAUCAUUCUUUAUAGAGAUAGGGGCUGUUUUGCCAGAAUGCUCAGCUGUGAUACACAGUGUAAGAUUUUGUGCAGUGUAAAUGGUCAUGGUGUGCAUGUUUCAUUUACAGAGUGCACUGAAUGCCUGUAAACUGUAAGAUUUGAGUGAAAUAUUCAUUCCAGAAAGACUCAUAAGCUUUUUAGUAAGCUCACAUAUUGGAUUUUUCAGAGCUGUUUGGCUCAUUUUACCUAGGGUAGCCAUAAAUGAAUGAUCACUGAAAAGUAUAUGACACAUAUAUGUACAAAAGCUAUUCAUUCUCAUAUUUGCCACAUACUGGGCUGCUUAAAAAGGGCAAAUUUGACAGCUACAGGAUUUUUCUUAGUUCACAUUUUACUUUUUCGUGUGAGUAGACUCUGCGUUUUGACGUGCUUUUUGUAAUAUGAAUAGUUUUCCUUAAAAUUGGAACAGUGAUAUUGUAAUCAGACUUGAAGUGGCUCUUAAUUUGGAUAGAUGUAUAUUAAGGAAACAUGCUGUUUUUUAUUUUGGGUGAAAAUCUCAUCAAACAAAAAAGUUAUAGAAUUUUG